rnacentral:lncRNA from 1 species
UCGCUUUAGAGUGUAUGAAUAAAAUAAAUAAUAUGCUAGUUGAUUCUAGAGUGUAAUAGUACCAAGUUUAGGUAACUGAAUCGUGAAUUCGAAAGUGUGCAUGGUCUGACCACAUAAUGUGUUGAAAUCAUAGUUCUGUGCAUCAAACGUUCUAGGAGACUGCAAGAUAUUCACUCUCUCUAUAUAGUAGAGAACAUAAAAAAAGUAAAUCAUCAAACAUUUGUGAAAGAUAUGUCAUGAAUAACUAACAUCCGGUCCCAUGCGAGGAACAACUAGUAUACACCGAGUAAAAAAUUGGACCCACAAGACACCCGAUGCCUUGACCAACCCACGCUCCCUAUUCCUAGGGAGCUUGUAUAAUUUAAGGAUAUAUUUUCACAUCACAUGUAUUUGUUACUACAAAGUUUAUAUUGUUUUUUAUAAACUUGAUCAAACAUUAUGAAGUGUGACUCGGGUAAGAGCUAAUACGAGGAAUCCAUUAAAAUGAAGGGAGUACUAAUUAAGUUGGGGAUUGGAUAAUUUGCCCCUAGGUUGUUUCAAUAACUAGUGGCCUUCACUAAUAGAAAAUAGGGUUUUCGUCCGGAGCAUUAGUCCCGCUCGGGUUUUGGACCAGAACUAAUGUCACCACUAGUCCGGUUCAAAUGGUCGCGCUUUAGUCCCGGUUCCAACGGCUAGGCUUUAGUCCCGGUUCAUUUGGAACCUCUAGUUUCGGUUGGUGAUAGCAACCAGCACUAAAGGUGUCGUGGUAGGGUUGCGUCAAACCUGAGCCCCUACGAUCCCCUUUAGUCCUGGUUGGUGCUACCAACCGAGACUAGUUGUCCGUCUCUAGUCCCAAUUUGUGUCACCAACCGGGACUAAAGAUGUCACUAUAUAGAGUGCUUCGUCCAACCUCAGCCCAAGAGCUAUCCUUUCUCUGUUUUCCCCUUUCUCUCCUUUGUUCUCUUCCCCUUGAUCGAGCUCAUACUCCAUUUUUGCCAAGAUUUGUCAAGAUUUGAGGCACCCCAUCUAUCCAAGUGUUAAUGAAGGUCAACAACUUUGUCCUUUCAUCUCCCAUUUCUAGAUUAGCUCGUGCAAUGCUCUAUAAGUAUAUUGAUUUGUGGGUUUUAGUUUGGGAGUAAUUAUGUGGGUGUUUAUUCAUUUAUAUGUAAUUUGAUCUCAGAUUUCUCAAUGCAAUUACUCACAAGGUAAUCGAUCCAAAAAUCCUACCAAGGUUACAGAAUGAUUUGGUACAAUGUCGUGUCAGUUUCAAGUUGGUGUUCCCGCCAUCCUUCUUCAAUAUGAUGACGCACGUCCUAGUUCACCUAGUCGAAGAGAUUGCCAUUCUGGGUCAUGUAUUUCUACACAAUAUGUUCCCCUUUGGGAGGUUCAUGGGAGUCUUAAAUAAAUAUGUUCAUAACCAUGCUACGCCAGAAGGAAGCAUAUCCAAGGGCCAUGAAACAGAGGAGGUUAUUAAGUUUUGUGUUGACUUUAUUCCCGACCUCAAGCUGAUUGGUGUUCCUAAAUCACGACAUGAUGGGAGACUGAGUGGAAAAUGCAUACUAGGAAAUGAUUCAGUAAUAUGUAGGGACGUGCAUUCUUGGGUGCAAGCACACUACACAGUUCUACAAAAUUCUACCUUGGCGGCCCAGUAUAUUAAUGAACACAAGAAUAUUCUACGCUCCAAACACCCGGAGCAGUCUGAUGACUAGAUUACACGUGAACACAUGGGGACUUUCAGGAGUUGGUUGCAAACACAUCUCAUGGGUAACGAUACUACUGGAGAUGACCUGUACUUGUUGGUCAGGACACCAUCUUCGGCUGUAUUGACUUUCCAAGGGUACGAGAUAAAUGGGAAUACAUUUUACACGAUCGCCCAAGAUAAAAAGAGCACCAACCAAAAUAGUGGUGUCCGCUUUGAUGCAGCAAACACCAAUAGGGCAAAGGACACAUAUUACAAUCACAUAGAGGAGAUAUGGGAACUUGACUAUGGACGUGAUUUUAAGGUCCCUUUGUUUCGGUGCAAAUGGGUCAAUCUGACAGGAGGCAGUGUAAUUGAAGACCCGCGGUACAGAAUGACAACAGUGGGUCACAACAAUCUUGGGUACACAGACGAACCAUUCGUCCUAGCCAAUGAUGUGGCGCAAGUUUUCUAUGUGAAGGACAUGUCUACCAAACUGAGAAAAAGAAAAGAUAAGGAAGAGAAUACAUCAUACGAUGAGCCAAAGUGGCACAUAAUUCUUUCAGGGAAAAGAAACAUCGUGUGUGUGGAGGACAAGAUAGGCAUGUUAGAAGAUUAUGAAAAGUUCCAUGAAAUUCCUCCCUUCACAGUGAAGACUGAUCCAAGCAUCUUGUUAAACGAUGAAGAUUGUCCAUGGUUACGGUGCAAAGGGACACACGCGAAGAAAAAGUUUUAUACCCCAAGAUCCCACUCUAGGAUGUGAGUUUUUGGACUUAUAGCUGGAUAGUUCCACUUCCGACAAAAUGGAGGGAAUCUUUGUAAGAGUUAGGGUAUAUAUGUAUUUUGGCAUUUUGGCAUUUGCCGUAACCCUCUCAACUUUUUAGCACAUGCUAUGUUGGUGACAUGAUGAUACCAUGCCAAAUUUCGACCUGUAUAGAGUUCAUUUGUAGUGAUUUUCAAUUUAGAGGGUCAUUUAGCUCAAAAAAAAUCAUUGAAUGCGUGAAAAUAGCAAAUGAAGUCAGAGAGGGUUGAAAAAUGAUGAGGUGGCUUUGAAUGGUGCAUAUUGAAUGCACAAAAAGUCAGGAGUUGAAGUAAGCUUAAAAAAUGAAAUGCCUUUGUACCAGAUGAGUAUUCGUCCGAAACCCUGUUAUUUCGAAACAGAUUGUCCAGUUUGUACACAAAGUGCAUCCAGUUUUUUCCGUAACCCUCUCAACUUUUUAGCACAUGCUAUGUCGGUGAAAUGAUCUUAACAUGCCAAAUAUUAACCUUUUCAGAGUUCAUUUAUAGUGAUUUUUCAAUUUUAGGGUCAUUUAGCUAAAAAAAUCAUUAAAUGCACGAAAAUAGCAAAUGAUGUGAGAAAGGGUUGAAAAUUGAUGAGGUGGCUUUGAAUGGUGCAUAUUAAAUGCACAAAAAGGCUGGAGUUGAAAUAAGCUUAAAAAUGAAAUCCCUUUGUGACACAUGAGUAUUUGUGCGAAACCCUCAUACUUCGAAAGAGAUUGUCGAGUUUGUACACGAAGUGCAUCCAGUUUUUGCCGUAACCUUCUCAAUUUUUUAGCACAUGCUAUAUGAGUGAAAUGAUGAUACCGUGCCCAAUUUCAACCUUUUGAGAGUUCAUUUGUAGUGAUUUUAGAAUUAAUAAGUGCAAAUUUAAUUAUGCAAUUUCCUGUUAAAAUGAUACUAUAUAGUUGAUAGAAAUCUUCAGGAUGGAUCCACAAAAAUUUGAAUCAACUCAUUUGGUUUAGUUUCAAAUUGUUAUGUAUUUUACAUGAAUUAAUUUUAAUCUAUGAAAUUGAAUUUGUCAAAUAAUUAAAACAAAGGAAAAAGGUAUAAAACUAAAAGAGCUAAACAUAAUAUGUUUUUGAUUAACACACCUAUUUAAUAUAUCCUAAAAAUUCACAAAUUAAACAUGCUGAUAAAACACAAUAAUAUUAAAAAACAGGAAAGUGAAUCACUCAAAAAUCUAUUUUAAACUAAAGUUAUUCACAAACUAGUGAUUCACACAAAUUUCAAAGAAUUCAAAUUUAAACUAUUCAAAUUUGAAACUACCGGCACUAAGAGAAAGUAUAUAAUUUUUUGACCUAAAGAAAAAAGAUUCGCCCAAAAAGCCUAAAUAUUUGGCUGUAAGGAGAAACAAAAGUAAAAAAUAAAAGAAAAAACAAAAACAGAAAUCAUGAAAAAACCCUUUAGUCCCGGUUGCCACAACCAAUGGGGACUAAAGGUCCUCCUCCCCGAUUGCAGCCAUCCUUUAGUCUCGGUUGCAGCCACGCACCGGGACUAAGGUGGGAGCCGUGGAGUUUACCGUGCGUGAGGCCGCAAAGUGAUGUGAUGUGUUACAAGCUGGGUUCUUAUGACUUAGGAUCGGGGUUCUGACAACGUGCAACGAAGAAUCACUUCAAAGUUCUUAUCUAGCACAGGACAUAAGAGGAAAUGGUUUGUAGGGUACGAAACCACCUUAAAGCUAUCCUUUAUGAUCAAUCUAUCCAAGAGUUCGUACUGAGAUAAUACCAAGUUAUCCUUUCUAAUCGAUCUAUUCAAGAGUUCAUACUAAAAUAACACCAUAUGAUACACAUCAACCAACUGUAAUGUCACCUAGAUCCUCUAACGUCACCACAAGUAUCCAUGAGUUAAUUAUACGAUACACAUCAAACAAUUUCAGAUUCAUAAUACUCAACCUCAAAGAUUGCCCAAAUAUUUCUAUUGGAGAGCGUAGGACAAGAACGUGCAUCAACCCCUAUGCAUAGGUUACCCCAAUGCCACCUCAGGAAUCCGCAAGUUGAGUGCCAAAACGCACAUCAAGUUAAUCAAUAUGAUACUCCAUCAUCACCACAAGUAUUCGUAGCAAGACAUACAUCAAGUGUUCUCAAAUCCAUAAAAGUAUUCAAUCCGAUAAGAAAUCUCAAAGGGAAACUCAAUUCAUCAUAACAAAAUAGAGGGGGAAAACACCAUAUGAUCCAACUAUAUUAACAAAGCCGUGAUACAUCAAGAUCGUGCCAUCUCAAAAACAAGAGAGAGAGAGAUUGAACACAUAUCUACUGGUACAAACCGUCAGCCCCGAGGGUGGACUACUCCCUCCUCGUAAUGGCCUUCGCCGGGAUGAUGAAGAUGGUCAUGCGAGAUGGUUUACCCUCUCCGACAGGGUACUGUUUUCUCUCCAGAUAAGUUUUUCAUUGAUUCACAGGCGUUGCGGCGGCGGAACUUCUCGUCUAGGGUUAUUUUUCAUGGUUUAUAUAUUUAUAGGAAUUUUUGACGUUGGUUUCAUGCGAAGAUGGGCCACAAGGUGAGCACAAGACACCAGGGUGCGCCUGGGCCCUCUGGCAUGCCGUGGUGGGUGGUGCCCUCCUCAUGGCUCUUCUAUCCCUCCCACAAAGCUUCGGGGUUUCUUUCGUUCCAAAAAAUCGUCAAAAAAAGUUUCAGCUCAUUGGGAGAACUUUGAUUUCUGCACAAAAAACAAGACGACGGUAGUUCUCCGGAAAACAACGUCAAUCCGGGUUAAAUCUAAAUAAAUAAUAUAAAGUGCAUAAAAACAAUAUAAAAGUAUUGUAAACAUAGGUGAAUAUGGCAUGAAUACUUCAUAAAUUAUAGAUACAUUGGAGACGUAUCAGCACCCUGAAAGUUAAUUCCUACUCGUCCUCGAGUAGGUAAAUGAUAAAAGAAAUAAUUUAUGAAGUACGAAUGCUAGCAUAGUGCAUAAGUUUGAUCAAUGAUAAUUCUAACCACUUUUCUUAGAAUCAUAACAACAACUCUUUCUCAUAAAACUCAUCAUAAUAAAGUAGCAACCAAUUCACAUGUUAUGGUUCAAGCAAUGAAUUUUCUUGAAACUUAACAAGCUAUGUUCUUAGUCACAAAACAAUUGCAAUUCAACUUAUUCGCAACAAAGUCUAAGUAAGAGCUCCAUAUAAUCAAUCAUCAUACAGUCUUCCAUGAUUUCUAGUACUCAAAACAUAUUCUUAGAACAAAUGGAAUCCAUCGAACACACAGAAAGAUAGGGGCUUAAUGUUAUCCUCCCAACUCAUUUAUCAUAGAGAUAAUUGUCAACAAUUAUAAAUCAUGAUCGAAUAUAUUUGACUGGUCAUAUGUGCCUAGAUCUUUCUCCACCACAUGAUGCUUACCAACUAGAGAAUAAUUGAGGUUGAAAUGAGAAUGCAUACUAUUGACUCUUGCAUAAAAGUAAAUACUGAGAAGUAAAAGAUAUGCCCUUCACAGAGGGAAGCAGAGGGUUGUCAUGCGCUUUUUAUUUUUGGAUGCUCAAUCUCUUAAUGCAAAAGAACCUCACGUUAUAUUUCCCUUUAUGAUAGCAACCUUUAUUAUGCAGUCCGUCGAUUUUAUUACUUUGCCAUCGCAAGUUUGUACAACGCUUAUUUCCCUUACAAUAAAAUAUCAAACAUAUUUAGGAGCAAUUUUUAUUGCUUUAUGCACCGAUGGAAACUUACUUGAAGGAUCUUAUUCAAUCCCUAGGUAGGUAUGGUGUACACUCAAGGCAAGAAACUGGUUUAAGGGUUUUUGGAUGCACAAGUAGUAUUUCUACUUAGUACGAUUUUUUUGCUAGUAAAAGAUCCUAAGCAAGCACCACAUGUUGGAGGAUCCAUAACAAUAUAACUUCUAUGCAAAUAUACACAACCAUAACUCAUCAGGUUGUCUUCCUUGUCCAACUUCAACUACUAUCUCAAGUUUGAAAAUAAUUAAUGGGUAUUCACAAUCAUAGAAGAUGUCCAAGAUAAUAUAUUUGUAUGUGAAAUUUCUCUUCCUUAUACUAAUCAUUCAUGAAUUGCUUGUAUGACCAAUAUUGUGAUUGUCAAGCUUCAAAAGAUUUCACUUUCUAAACCCAAAGUGAAGUUUAUACCAUUAGGUAUGGUAUGCACAUAUAAUUUCAACUUCAUGUUAUUUAGUUCAUUCAACAUUUUACUCAUAGGAUAUAAAUGCAGCUCAAGAGUAAAUAUCAAACUACUCUCAAAAGAUAUAAGUGAAGAUCAAUGAGUAGGUAAACAAUCAAGUAGCUAACUAAGGACUCUCUCUCUCAAUAAAUAUUUUCAGAUAUGAUUAUUUUAUUCAAAUAUAAAAUAAAACAAAAGACACUCCAAGAAUAGCACAUAUCAUGUGGACGAAUAAAAAUUUAGGCUCAACAUAGGCUAACCGAUAUUUGUUUGAUGUACAAAGGUGGGACGCGUUGCAUCCCCAAGCUUAGAUGCUUGAGACUUCUUGAAAUAUUUACGUGUGGUGCCUUGGGCAUCCCCAAGCUUGAGAUUUUAUAUAUCAUUCAAUCCUCUCAUAUCCCAGUUUCACCUAAGUCUCAAAAACUUCAUCCACACAAAACUUGAAAAGAACUCGUGAGAUAGGUUAGUACACAUAAAAGUAAAUCAACACUUCAUGUACUGCCAAGACAAGUUGCAUAAUAAUUUUAAAACAUUAUAUACUUUAUAAUAUCAUUUCCACAAUUUAUAUUUACCAAUAUAAGAUAUGGAAUUUAUAGGAUAAGUAGAUAACAAAAAUAUGACAGCAAUCUGUCCAAACAGAACAGUCUGUAGAAUUUCAUACAAAACUUGGAGUUGUGUAACUCCAAAAAUUCUGAAAAUUUAGGACGUGAGAAAAAAUUUGUACGAUAACACUGUGUAAACAUUUCAGAAACUUCCAAAGUUCCAGUAAAAUGUGAAAAUUCAACCCCCCCCCCCCACACUACAGAAAAAGUUUCUGUUUUUACACAACACAUAUUAAACAUGUAACUCAAGCAUCCUAAGAGGAAAUUCUUGGAACUUUUCAUUGGAAAACAAAAUUAUAAAUAACAUAUAAAAUAUAACAACAAAAUAAAAUGAUGCUCCAAGCAAAACAAAUAUCAUGUGAUGAAUAGAAAUAUAGCAACAAUGAAGAUAUACCAAUAAUGUUGGAGACGAAAGAGAGGAUGCCUUUCGGGGCAUCCCCAAGCUUAGACGCUUGAGUAUUCCUUGGAUAUUACCUUGGGGUGCCUUGGGAACCCCAAAGAUUAUGUUCUUGCUGCUCCCUAUUCUCCUCAUAUUGACAUCUCACCCAAAACUUGAAAACUUAAAUUACACAAAACAUAACGGAACUUCGUGAGAUGGGUUAGUAUGAUAAAUAUAGAUCAUUCACUUAGGCACUGCCAAGACAAGAUUCAUAAUUGUUCUAAAAUAAUACCUACUGUAUUAUAUCAUUCCAAAAAUUUAUUUCACUCAAUAUAAGUUAACACUAAAACAAGCAAAUUAUGCAUGCAAAACAGAAUCUGUAAAACACAGAACAGUCUCGGAAGAUAUGCAUUAAACCAAUACUUACCUUACUCUAAAAAUUCUGAAAGAUUAGGACAACGUAGAUAAUUUUCAUACCUAAAAUUUGUUAAAAUUUCAUAAUUUUUUGACGCCCCAGUAAAAUCAUAUAAAUUAUGUACUGGACGUAAAGCCCCCCCCCCCCCCGUUUUUGUUUUUCCACAUAUUCAAAUCAACUAUCAUCCACACUAUCCCAAAGGAUUUACUUGACACUUUAUUGGGAAAAAGCUAUAAAACAUGAUUAAUACAAUAUCUUAGUCAUGUUAACACACAAAAUCAGUAGGGGUAAAUGUUUGAUUGUGUCCCAACAAACGCUUUUCUUUAAUGCCUUUUCAGCUAGGCAUGAUCAUUUCAAUGAUGCUCACAUAAAAAGUAGUAAUUGAAACAUGCAAGAGAGCAUCAUGAACCACAUGGCAAGAAAAUUUAAGUCUAGCCCACUUCCUAUGCAUAGAGAUUAUGAAAGAAAACAAUUUAUUGUAGCAAGAAUCAUCUUGCAUAGGAAGGCAAAACAAGCAUAACUUCAAAACUUUGAACACAUAGAGAGGAAACUUGAUAUUAUUACAAUUCCUACAAGAACGUGUUCCUGCCUCAUAAUAAUUUUCAGUAGAAUCAUGAAUGAAUUUAACAAUAUAACUAUCACAUACAACAUUAUUUUCAUGAUUAACAUGCAUAUAAGUUUUACUACUCUGCACAUAAGAAAAUUUCUUCGCAUUCAUAAUAGUGGGAGCAAACUCAACAAAAUAACUAUCAUGAGACACUUGAUUGGCAUAAUCCAAUCUAAAAAUAAAAUCAUGAUGAAAAGUUUCAUGGUUAUCAUUAUUAUUUGUAUCAUAAGUGUCAUCACGAUAAUCAUCAUAAUAGCAAUUUUAUUUUCAUAAUAGUCAAUUGAAACCUCUUCCAAAAUUGUGGAUUCAUCACUAAAUAAAGUCAUGACCUCUCCAAAUCCAUUUUUAUCAAUAUUGUGAAAAGAUUCAACACCCUCCAAAAUAGUGAGAUCAUUACCUAGAGUUGACACUCUUCCUAACCCACAUUCAUCAAUAUAAUCAUCAUAAAUAGGAGGCAUGCUAUCAUCAUAAUAAAUUUCAUCAUCACAUGUAGGGGGAGUAAUUAUAUCAUCAUCAAACAUAGCAUCCCCGAGCUUGUGGCUUUGCAUAUCAUUAGCAUCACGGAUAUUCAGAGAAUUCAUACUAACAAUAUUUCUAUCAUUCUCAUCANNNNNNNNNNNNNNNNNNNNNNNNNNNNNNNNNNNNNNNNNNNNNNNNNNNNNNNNNNNNNNNNNNNNNNNNNNNNNNNNNNNNNNNNNNNNNNNNNNNNCGGGGACCAUCGGGAGGGGUGUCACGCCCCAAGGGGUCUCAUGGGCUAUGGGAAGAGAUAAACCAGCCCCUAGUGGGCUGGAAUAAGUUCCCACUAAGGCCCAUAAGGUUUGAGAAGGAAAAAACACAAGGUGGAAAGAGUUUCCAAGUGGGAAGGUGGAAUCCUACUCCAAGUAGGAUUGGAGUAGGACUCCUCCACCUCCAAUUUCGGCCAAACCUUUAGGUUUUGAGGCUGCCUCCUCCCCUCCCUCCCACCUAUAUAUACGGAGGUUUUAGGGCUGAUUUGAGACGACUUUCUCACGGCUGCCCGACCACAUACCUCCAUAGUUUUUCCUCUAGAUCGCGUUUCUGCGGAGCUCGGGCGGAGCCCUGCUGAGACAAGAUCAUCACCAACCUCCGGAGCGCCGUCACGCUGCCGGAGAACUCUUCUACCUCUCCGUCUCUCUUGCUGGAUCAAGAAGGCCGAGAUCAUCGUCGAGCUGUACGUGUGCUGAACGCGGAGGUGCCGUCCGUUCGGUACUAGAUCGUGGGACUGAUCGCGGGAUUGUUCGCGGGGCGGAUCGAGGGACGUGAGGACGUUCCACUACAUCAACCGCGUUCACUAACGCUUCUGCUGUACGAUCUACAAGGGUACGUAGAUCACUCAUCCCCUCUCCUAGAUGGACAUCACCAUGAUAGGUCUUCGUGCGCGUAGGAAAUUUUUGUUUCCCAUGUGACGUUCCCCAACAGCACGUAGCGAACUGCACGCGCUUUUUGCCCCUGGCGAUGCCUACGGCCGUGGUGUAAUCAAUCAACCAGUCUUCUGGCUUGGUCGUGCCGUUGUAUUUCGGCGUAUCCCGAGGUAGGGUGAAACCUCGGGGGAACGGCUCUCCUCGGAUCAUGGGGCCGAAACAUGCCGGACCGACGGGUCCGUCUUCCUCUAGGAGGGCUGACUGGGCCAGGGCGAUGAUAUGCCGGCGGACGUCCCGCUCAUCCUGGGUGGCGUGGGCGCCAGCCCCGGUGGCGAGAGGGGAGGCGCCUCGUGAGCCAGAGACGUGAGUUCUUCGCGGGGGAAGAACCUCAUACUCCGAAUCGCCCUCGUCGCCUCCGCGACGCAAGCCCGAAGUGUGCUCGCUCUGGCGCUGAGAGUGCCGGUCUUGGCUUCCCUCGCCCCUCCGACCGGAAGGGCGAUGCGAGGAAGAUCCUUCUGCGUGGUGCUGGCCUCUAGGGUUGCGGCGUGCCCCUGAGUUCGGUCCCGGGGACUCCGAUUGAGCCUGACCGGGGUCAAACCGAGCAUGUUGCUGGUUGGCGGCGUCAAGGAGAUCCUUGACCUGCUUCUCCUGGAAGGCGCGCUCCUCGCCUUCCAGGCUUGCCAUCUCCUCCAUGGCUGCCUGCGCCGCUCGCAUGUUGGCCGUAGGAGUCUUGUAGGUGGGCAGAUCACCGCCUAGAACCUCGGCGAUGAACCGGCCGCGGAUACGGACCGAUCCAAGCCGGCUAGGGGCCUCGGAAAUCGGAGUGAGACCAUAUGCGGAGUUAUACUCGCGCUGCGUAGCCUCCAACCGACGUUUCGACGAAGCUACGGCGAUGCCCUCCUCCAAGAUACGCUUGCGGGCCUCCUCCAGCGAGGCCCGAGCGUCAGCAGGAUCAGCACAAGUGGUGACUGGUGUCUUCAGGCCGGCGAUGGCGUCCCAAAGAGUAUCAGCGGUGGCCGCAGCGGGCUCGCCAGCGCCUAUGGAGGCCUUGCCGGGAGCCGUGCUGGUGCCAGCGCCGAUAACCAUCACCUCCACGGUGUUGGAGACGGCAACAACGUGGUAUGGGGUGAAGAACCCCACCGACGGCGGAGGGCCGUCGAAGAUGAGGACGUUACUGGGGUAAACGUCGUGGGCAAGCAUCUCAGUGAUAGAGAGCCUGCUGAAGCUGGCGCAGAGCGCCUCAACGUCGAGGUCCUCGCCGAAGUAGCGCGGGCUGUCGUUGAGACGAAGGUCGCUGAAGAGAACGCUGAGGUUCUCCAUACCAGCGACGACGAUGCUAGGGAGCGCCUCGUCAUCAGAAUCUUCGUCCGAAUCCGCAUGGCGGACGGGGACGUCGAUCAUCAUGGGUGUCGCCUCAUCGAAAGCGGGCACCACGGGCAUGCAAACUGAUCCGGACGCGAUGCAUCCGGUGGUGUAGGUGCGGGGUCCCGCCCAGCGCGUAAAGCCAGCCGAUGCCGCGAUCCUCCCCACGGUGGGCGUCAAAUGUUGGUGAAUACUCACAACAUAUGCCAUGGGUAGGCUAAAGUCGGUGAGAACCGAAGGGACAAAGGUGGGCGCUAGGAAUGAGGUGGGUACACGCAUGGGACGCACGAUGUACCCAGGUUCAGGGCUCUCCAUAGAGAUAAUACCCCUAAUCCUGCCGGAGUGUUUGAAGUAUAGGAACAGAGUACAAUGUCGCUCCUGGAGCUGUGUUGGGAGGAGGAAGAGGGGAGCAGCCGACUCGUCUCUACCUUUCUCUCUGUGGUUGGUGAAUGUGUUGUGUUGAAUGACUGGUGAAGGAUCGGCCCCCUUGCAUGGAGGGCGACCGGGGGGUUUUAUAGACGAACCCGCCGGCCUACAAUAUGGACAACGGGUACAAGUGUGGGACCCGACUGGCAGCUUCGCCGGCUGGCAAGGGCCCACAAGGGUCUUGUCUUGUCGAUGGGGGCCCCGCAGGCUGCAUGGUCUCGAUUGCCUGUGGGACCCGCCGGCUGGCCAAUGAGGCUCUCGCGUAAGGUUGACGUUGAGCACGCGUUGUACGUCAAGCGUCGCCCCGCGAGAUUCUUCAUGGGCAGGUAGUACGACCGCCUCCACUGUUCCCCACGCCGAGUGCAGUAAUGGAGUGGGAGUAUGACGGUCCGACACUAUGCUAGGUGAUGGAUCAGAGCCGGGGUAGGUCAGCGGCGUGGUCGUCGACGCUCGUACCUGCCGGGCGCCCUGAUCCUGUACCUUUGCUGACGCGUAGCUACCUUUAAUCGUGAGGUCUCUUCCUGACCUACGAUCUGAUGUGACUUGUGAUCCUCGGCCGGCUAGCCUGCUUGGCCAGCCGGCUUAAGUGUGGCCGCCUCCUCCCCAGUCCAGCUGGCGGGACCAGACCGGCUCCGAAGAGGAGGUUGUUAGGAUUCUAGCCGGCAGGGGUUGCCUGGCCGGCCAGAAGGUGGCCGCCUCGUCCUCUAGCCAGCAGGUGAUGCCUAGCCGGCCAGAAGACUUGGGCCUUGGGAAUCUUCAUACGUUCAUGUCCAUUGGGCCGGAAAUGAAGGAAUAGGCUUGAUGAGCCUACCCCGGGGUUAUCCUCCCGACAGUAGUCCCCGAAGCUGGCGAGGUCUGCCGCCUGCGGGUGGGCGGCCUCACCGGCUUGUUGAUUUGUCUUGAUAUUUUGGCCGCUAUUCGCGGCGAAGGACGCCGGCUUCGAAACCGGGUGGCUUCGAAGCGACGCCUCGGUCUAGUCGUAACUUGUUCGGAGAACGCCACGUGCCAGGCCCCCCUGGCGUAAUGAUGGCGAUUACUGCUGAUGGGACCGGGCCUGGGCCCUGGGUCCCACCACGACGCCCCCUCGGCCUCCGCGCAGGAGAUCCUCUGCGAAUUUACUCCGCGGUGGUUGGGCUUAGGGGAGCGUUACCGCCCGUAAUACACGGGGUUAAUGGGGCUCGGUGCGCACCGGAUCCCCUCCCCACGACGCUUCGUGGGGGUUUAAAUGGGGCGCAAGGGUUCCAAGGAAGCCAUUCGCCCCCUCUUCUCGCCCUCCAACCGCGCUCUCUUCCUCCCUGCGUCCUGAGAAGAAGAGCUCGCGCCCUUCGUCUUCUUCAUCUUCGCCGUCGCGACAUCGCCGACCGCUUUGAGCUCUCGCCACCCGCAGUCAUGGCCAGCGGUUCCUCCUCGAAGAAGUCAUCGGUGCAGAAGGCGUCCUCAGAGGGGGCCUGGUUGGGCAGCGACGUCGACGAGGGGCACAUCAAGGCGCUUCGUCAUCAUCGACUACUGCCCCCGGCCUCCCAAGUAUUGGUGCGCCUCCCCAGCUCCGAGACCGCUCCCGCACCCGCCGCGGGAGAGGUUGUGGUCUUCGUCGAGCACUUCUACCGGGGCUUCGGGCUCCCGGCUAGCUCCUUCUUCGCUGACUGGCUCCAAUUCUUCGGCCUCCAGCCGCAUCAUCUGGCGCCGAACGCCAUACUGCAGCUGGCCGCCUUCGUGGUCCUGUGCGAGGGCUUCGUGGGGAUCGAGCCUCGCGUCGACCUGUGGUGCAGCCUAUUCUUCUUUAAGCAGCAAUCCAUCGCCAUGGAAAAAUCCAAGGUGGAGAAGCUCAGGGGCCGCGCCCCAUGACGCCGUGCUGGGCCGCGUUGGUGCAUCAUCGCCUGAAGUCUGGCUUCCCCCAGAUGCCUCUGCAAGACUCCAUCAAGCAUUGGCAGAAGGGUUUCUUCUACGUGAAGAGCGCCGACCCGGCCCAGGACGCCCUCAACAUGCCCCUGUUCGCCAUCGCUCCCCCGACGCGGCGGAACUGGGAUGCGAAGACUCCCAGGCCGCAUCCUGAGGUGGCGCUUAUCUGUGCCCACCUCGACAUCUUGGAGAAGAGCGGCCUCCUCGGCCACGACCUUCUCGCCACCAUGGUGGUCCGCCGGAUUCUGCCUCUGCAGAGGCGGCUGCAUCUGGUCUGCCAGAUGAGCGGCCGGCUUGAUCCAUGCCGGCUGUCCACCAAGAGGUUUACCCCGGGCGCUCUAGCGCGAAGGGUGAACCUGAUCUCUACUGCCCACAUGGAUGAGGGCGGGGAAUGGACAUGGGGGAUGUCCCCGUUCAACCGGGCUCACCCGCCUCCGAUGGUAGCUUUACUCCAUUCUUCUGUGUUGUUUUGUCUCGAAGCCCGUUGAAUUCUUUUUUGUAGCUGUUCGAGAUCCUGCAGGGGUCCCUCCGUCAGCCCACUCCCGAUGUGGAGGUGCCCGACGCCUCCGAGAUUGAGGACGAGGGCGCGAUGGAUCCCCGCUCAGACUCCUCCGCCGGCUCGGAAGAUCCCCUGGAGUCGGAAGGGACCGAGCCGUCUGGUGAGUAUACGCGGCACGUCGUAGCAGACUUGGACGGACGACGAUGAGGUAGCCUCAUUUUGUUCUGGUGCAGCCUUCGAGGAAGACUCUGAUGAGGUGGAGGAGGUCACCAUCCCACCACUGGCGCGUGGCCGGCGUCAAGGUGGCGGGGCGACCGCUGCCGACGAGGCAGCCGGGAAGAAGGGCAAGGGUGCCACAGCUUCCCGGCCGGCCUNNNNNNNNNNNNNNNNNNNNNNNNNNNNNNNNNNNNNNNNNNNNNNNNNNNNNNNNNNNNNNNNNNNNNNNNNNNNNNNNNNNNNNNNNNNNNNNNNNNNCCCUCUCGUAGAUGGACAUCACCAUGAUAGGUCUUCGUGCGCGUAGGAAAUUUUUGUUUCCCAUGUGACGUUCCCCAACAGUGGCAUCAUGAGCUAGGUUCAUGCGUAGAUGUCUUCUCGAGUAGAUCACAAAAGUUUUUUUGGGCGGAGAUGUGCGUUUUUCUGCCCUCCUUAGUCUUUUCUUGAUUCCGCGGUAUUGUUGGAUUGAAGCGGCUUGGACCGACAUUACUCGUACGCUUACGAGAGACUGGUUUCAUCGCUCAAAGAUGACUGGCAAGUGUCGGUUUCUCAAAGAUGACUGGCAAGUGUCGGUUUCUCCAACUUUAGUUGAAUCGGAUUUGACCGAGGAGGUCCUUGGAUGAGGUUAAAUAGCAACUCAUAUAUCUCCGGUGUGGUGUUUGUGUAAGUAAGAUGCGAUCCUACUAGAUACCCAUGGUCACCACGUAAAACAUGCAACAACAAAAUUAGAGGACGUCUAACUUGUUUUUGCAGGGUAUGCUUGUGAUGUGAUAUGGCCAAUGAUGUGAUGUGAUAUAUUGGAUGUAUGAGAUGAUCAUGUUGUAAUAGAAAAUAUCGACUUGCACGUCGAUGGUACGGCAACCGGCAGGAGCCAUAGGGUUGUCUUUAUACUAACGUUUGUGCUUGCAGAUGCGUUUACUAUUUUGCUAGGAUGUAGCUUUAGUAGUAAUAGCAUGAGUAGCACGACAACCCCGAUGGCGACACGUUGAUGGAGAUCAUGAUGAUGGAGAUCAUGGUGUGACGCCGGUGACAAGAAGAUCGUGCCGGUGCUUUGGUGAUGGAGAUCAAGGAGCACGUGAUGAUGGCCAUAUCAUGUCACUUAUGAAUUGCAUGUGAUGUUAAUCCUUUUAUGCACCUUAUUUUGCUUAGAACAACGGUAGCAUUAUGAGGUGAUCUCUCACUAAAAUUUCAAGACGAAAUUGUGUUCUCCCCGACUGUGCACCGUUGCUACAGUUCGUCGUUUCGAGACACCACGUGAUGAUCGGGUGUGAUAGACUCAACGUUCACAUACAAUGGGUGCAAAACAGUUGCGCACGCGGAACACUCGGGUUAAGCUUGACGAGCCUAGCAUGUGCAGACAUGGCCUCGGAACACAUGAGACCGAAAGGUCGAGCAUGAAUCAUAUAGUUGAUAUGAUUAGCAUAGAGAUGCUUACCACUGAAACUAUUCUCGACUCACGUGAUGAUCGGACUUGAGAUAGUGAAUUUGGAUCAUGUACCACUCAAAUGACUAGAGAGAUGUACUUUUUGAGUGGGAGUUCUUAAGUAAUAUGAUUAAUUGAACUAAUUGUCAUGAACAUAGUCUAAUAGUCUUUGUGAAUUACGAUGUAGCUUGCGCUAUAGCUCUACUGUUUAUAUGUUCCUAGAGAAAAUUUAGUUGAAAAUUGAUAGUAGCAAACUUUGCAGACUGAGUCUGUAAAACCGAGGAUUGUCCUCGUUGCUACGCAGAAGGCUUAUGUCCUUAAUGCACCACUCGAUGUGCUGCACCUCGAGCGUCGUCUGUGGAUGCUAUGAACAUCCGACAUUCACGUUUCUGAUGACUACACGAUAGUUCAGUGCAAAAUACUUAAUGGCUUAGAAGCAAGGCGCCGAAAACGUUGUAAAACGUCACGGAACAUAAGUGAUGUUCUAAAGAGAUGAAAUUGUGAUUUCAUGCUUGUGCCCUUGUUAAGAGGUACGGGACCUCCAACAAGAUUCUUUGUCCACAAAGUAAAGGAGAAAAGCUCAAUCGUUGAGCGUGUGCUCAGAUUGUCUGAGUACGACAAUCACUUGAAUCAAGUGGGAGUUAAUCUUCCAGAUGAGAUAAGUGAUGGUUCUCCAAAGUCACUGCCACCAAGCUGUGAGAGCUUCGUGAUGAACUAUAACAUAUCAAGGAUAGAUACAAUGAUCCUUGAGCGAUUCGCGAUGUUUGACACUGCGAAAGUAGAAAUCAAGAAGGAGCGUCAAUAGUUGAUGGUUUGUAAAACCACUAAGUUUCAAGAAAGGCAAGGGCUAGAAGGGAUACUUCGUGAAACGGCAAAACAGUUGCUGCACUAAUGAAUAGACCCAAGAUUAAACCCAAACCUAAGACUAAGUGCUUCUGUAAUGAGGGGAACAGUCACUGAGGCGGAGCAACUCUAGAUACUUGGUAGAUAAGAAGGCUGGCAAAAGUCGAAAGAAGUGUAUUUGAUAUACAUGAUGUAGAUGUGUACUUUACUAGUACUCCUAGUAGCAUGAGGGUAUUGGAUACCGGUUCGGUUGCUAAGUGAUUUGUAACACGAAAUGAAAGCUACGGCAUAAACGGAGACUAGCUAAAGGCGAGGUGACGAUACGUGUUGGAAAUGUUUCCAAGGUUGAUAUGAUCAAAUGUCGCACGCUCCCUCUACCAUCGGGAUUGGUGUUAAACCUAAAUAAUUGUUAUUUGGUGCUUGCGUUAAGCAUGAACAUGAUUGGAUCGUGUUUAUUGCAAUAGGAUUAUUCAUUUAAAGGAGAAUAAUGGUUACUCUAUUUUCUUGAAUAUUCACCUUCAAUGGUUUAUUGAAUCUCGAUCGUAGUGUUACACAUGUUCAUGAUAUUGGUGCCAAAAGAUACGAGUUAAUGAUGAUAGUACCACUUACUUGUGGCACUGCCGCUUGAGUCAUGUUAGUAUAAAUUGCAUGAAGAGGCUCCAUGCUGAUGGAUCUUUGUACUCACCUGAUUUCGAAUCACUAGUGACAUGCAAAUCAUACCACAUGAGCAAGGCCUUGUUUUCAUUGAGAUGAAAUAAGAUAGUAACUUGUUGGAAGUGAUACAUUUUUGAUGUAUGCAGUCCAAUGGGUGCUGAGGCACGUAGUAGAUAUCAUUAUGUUCUUACUUCACUGACGAUUUGAGUAGAUACAGGAGUAUUUACUUAAUGAAUCACAAGUCUGAAAUGUUGAAAAGUUCAAUUCCUUUUCAGAGUGAAGUUCGUCGUAACAAGAGGAUAAACUUUCUACGAUAUGAUCAUGGAAAUGAAUAUCUGAGUUACGAGUUUUGGUACGCAGUUAAGACAAUGUGGAAAUUGUUUCGCAGUUCAUGCCACCUGGAACAUCAUAGUGUGAUGAUGUGUCUGAACGUCAUAGCCACGCACUAUUUGGUAUGGUGCAUACUAUGAUGUCUCUUAUCGAAUUACCACUAUCGUUUAUGGGUUAUGCAUUAGAGACAACCGCACUCACUUUAAAUAGGGCACCGCGUAUUUCCGUUGAGAUGACACAGUAUAGACUGAGGUUUAGAGAAAUCUAAACUGUCGUUUCUUGAAAGUUUGGGGCUUCGACACUUAUGUGAAAAAGUUUCAGUCUGAUAAGCUCGAACCCAAAGCGGAUAAAUGCAUCUUCAUAGGAUAUCCAAAACAGUUGGGUACAUCUCCUAUCUCAGAUCCGAAAGCAAAGUGUUUGUUUCUAGAAACGGAUCCUUUCUCGAGGAAAGGUUUCUCUCGAAAGAAUUGAGUGGGAGGGUAGUAAAACUUGAUGAGGUUAUUGAACCAUCACUUCAACCAGUGUGUAGCAGGGCGCAGGAAGUUGUUCCUGUGGCGCCUACACCAAUUGAAGUGGAAGCUGAUGAUGGUGAUCAUUGAGCUUCGAAUCAAGUUACUACAAACCUCAUAGGUCGACAAGGUCGCGUACUGCUGCAGAGUAGUACGGUAACCCUGUCUUGGAGGUCAUGUUGUUGAGCAACAGUGAACCUACGAGUUAUGGAGAAAGCAAUGGUGGGCCCAGAUUCCGACAAAUGGCUGGAAGCCAUGAAAUCCGAGAGAGGAUCCAUGGAUGAAAACAAAGUGUAGACUUUGGAAGAAUUACUUGAUGGUCAUAGGACUAUUGAGUAAAGAUGGAUCUUUAAAGGAAACAGACGAUGAUGGUGAUAAAUCACUAUUAAGAAAAGCUCGACUUGUCACAAAGAUGUUUUCGACAAGAUCAAACAGUUGACUAUGAUGAGACUUUCUCACUCGUAGCGAUGCUAAAAGUCUAUUAGAAUUAUGUUAGUUGUUGAUGCAUUAUUUAUGAAAUAUUGCACGUAGGAUGUCAAAACAUUGUUUUCUCGACGGUUUCCUUGAGCAAACAUUGUAUGUGAUACAACCAGAAGGUUUUGUCGAUCCUAAAGAUACUAGCAAGUAUGCAAGCUCCAGUGGUCCUUCAAUGGACUGGUGCAAGCAUCUCGGAGUUGGAAUAUACACUUUGAUGAGAUGAUCAAAGAUUUUGGGUUUGUACAAGGUUUAUGAGAAACUUGUAUUUCCAAAGAAGUGAGUGGGAGCACUACAGAAUUUCUGAUAGGUAUAUGUGGUUGACAUAUUGUGGAUCAGAAGUAAUGUAGAAUUUCUGUAAAGCAUACAAGGUUGUUUGAAAGAAGUUUUCAAAGGAGUACCUGGAUUACGCUACUUGAACGUUGAGCAUCAAAGAUCUAUGGAGAUAGAUCGAAAGCGCUUAAUAGAAGUUUCAACAAGAUGCAUGCCUUGACAAGUUUUUGAAAGAGUUCAAAAUAGACCAGCAAAGAAGGAGUUCUUGGUUGCGUUGUAAGGUGUGAAUUUGAGCAAGACUCAAAACCCGACCACGGCAGAAUAAAGAGAAUAGACGAAGGUCGUCUUCUAUGCCUUAGCCGUAGAAUCUAAAGUAUGCCAUGAUGUGUACCGCACCUGAUGUGUGCCUUGACUCAAAGUCUGUUGAGAGGUACAGAGAGUGAUCCAUGAUUGAAUCACUAGCAGCGGUCAAAAUUUAUCCUUAGUAACAAAUGGACUAAGGAAUUUUUCUCGAUUAUGGAGGUGGUUAAAGAGUUCGGCGUAAAGGGUUACGUCGAUGCAAGCUUUGACACUAAUCCGAAUAACUAUGAGUAGUGAAACGGAUUCAUAUAGUAGAGUAGAUAUUUGGAGCAUUUCCGAAUAGCACGUAGUAGCAGCAUCUAUGAGAUGACAUAAAGAUUUGUAAAGAACGCACGGAUCUGAAAGUUUCAGAACCGUUGAAUAAAACCUCUCUCACGAGCAAGACGUGAUCAGACCCCAUAACUAUAUGGGUGUUGGAUUCGUUGGAAUCACAUGGUGAUGUGAACUAGAUUAUUGACUCUAGUGCAAGUGGGAGACUGUUGGAAAUAUGCCCUAGAGGCAAUAAUAAAUUAGUUAUUAUUAUAUUUCUUAGUUCAUGAUAAUCGUUUAUUAUCCAUGCUAUAAUUGUAUUGAUUGGAAACACAAUACUUGUGUGGAUACAUAGACAAAACACUGUCCCUAGUAAGCCUCUAGUUGACUAGCUCGUUGAUCAAAGAUGGUCAAGGUUUCCUGGCCAUAGGCAAGUGUUGUCACUUGAUAACGGGAUCACAUCAUUAGGAGAAUCAUGUGAUGGACUAGACCCAAACUAAUAGACGUAGCAUGUUGAUCGUGUCAUUUUGUUGCUACUGUUUUCUGCGUGUCAAGUAUUUAUUCCUAUGACCAUGAGAUCAUAUAACUCACGGACACCGGAGGAAUGCUUUGUGUGUAUCAAACGUCGCAACGUAACUGGGUGACUAUAAAGAUGCUCUACAGGUAUCUCCGAAGGUGUUCGUUGAGUUAGUAUGGAUCGAGACUGGGAUUUGUCACUCCGUGUGACGGAGAGGUAUCUCGGGGCCCACUCGGUAAUACAACAUCACACACAAGCCUUGCAAGCAAUGUGACUUAGUGUAAGUUGCGGGAUCUUGUAUUACGGAACGAGUAAAGAGACUUGCCGGUAAACGAGAUUGAAAUAGGUAUGCGGAUACUGACGAUCGAAUCUCGGGCAAGUAACAUACCGAAGGACAAAGGGAAUGACAUACNNNNNNNNNNNNNNNNNNNNNNNNNNNNNNNNNNNNNNNNNNNNNNNNNNNNNNNNNNNNNNNNNNNNNNNNNNNNNNNNNNNNNNNNNNNNNNNNNNNNAUUAUCAACUCUUUGUCCUAGAACAACACCAACAACAUAAUAACUAGCAUCACACAUAAUUUCAAAAGGCAAGUUCCAAUCACGUGGUUGAACAAUAGGUGCAUAAGUUAAGGCUUUCUUAAGUGUUUCAAAGGCUUCUACACAAUCAUCAUAAAAAAUGAAAGGAACAUCCUUUUGUAAUAAAUCAGUAAGAGGCCUAGAAAUUUUAGAUAAGUCUUUAAUAAACCUCCCAUAGAAACCAACAUGACCAAGGAAACUACGAAUACCUUUAAUAUCUUUAGGACGUGGCAUCUUCUCAAUUGCAUCAACUUUAGCCUUAUCCACCUCAAUACCUCGUUCAGAAAUUUUAUGAACCAAGACAAUACCUUCAUUUACCAUAAAGUGACACUUCUCCCUAUUCAAGACAAGGUUAGUUUGCUCACAUCUCUGCAAAACUCGAUCAAGGUUGCUUAAGCAACCAUCAAAAGAAGUUCCGUAAACAGAAAAAUCAUCCAUGAAGACCUCAACAAUCUUUUCACAAAAACAAGAGAAUAUAACACUCAUACAUCUCUGAAAGGUAGCUGGUGCAUUGCAUAAUCCAAAAGGCAUACGUCUACAGGCAUAAGUUCCAAAAGUAUCAGUAAAGGUGGUUUUCUCUUAAUCAGGUUGUGGCACACGUGUUUGAGAGAAACCAGAAUAACCAUCUAAAAAGAAAAAAUGAAAUGUGUGUGCUUCGAUAAUCUUUCUAGAAUUUGGUCUAUGAAAGGUAAAGGAUAGUGACCCUUUCCAGUAGCUUUGUUUAAUUUUCUAAAACCAAUUACCAUUCUAUAGCUAGUGAAAAUUCUUUGUGGAAUGAGUACAUUUUUAUUAUUAGGAACAACAGUAAUACCUCCUUUCUUAGUAACACAAUGAACGGGAAUUACCCAUCUACUAUCAACUACGGGAUAAAUUAUAAUUGCUUCGAGAAGCUUUAAUAUUUCAUUUCUUACCACUUACAUCUUGGGAUUCAGUCUUCGUUGGUGAUCAACAACGGGUUUAGAAUCUGGUUCCAUAUUAAUCUUGUGCUGACAGAGAAUGGGAUUAAUGCCCUUAAGAUCAUCAAGAGUAUACCCAAUAGCAGCUCGAUGCUUCCUUAGAGUCUUCAAUAAUCUUUCCUCUUCAUGCUUUGUAAGGUUAGCAGUGAUAAUAACAUGAUAUAUCUUAUUUUCAUCAUCAAGAUAAGCAUAUUUUAAAGUGACAGGUAAUUGAUUUAGUUCAAACACAGGAUCACCCUUGGGUGGAGGAGGACCUCCUAGAGUUUCAACAUGCAAGUUGUGUUUAAGGAUAGGCUUUUUCUCAAAGAACAUAUUCUCUAGUUCAUUUCUUUCAUGCAUAUGCAUAUCAUUUUCAUGGUAUAGCAAAUAUUGUUCUAAUGGAUCAGUAGGAGGAAUGUCAAUAGAAGCAAGACCAAUUACUUCAUAUUUACUAGGCAAUUCUUUAUCAUGGGGUUGCUUACUAAACUUGGAGAAAUGAAACUCAUGAGACAUACCACCAAAAUUAACACUAGCAAUUUCCUUUUUGCAAUCUAUUUGAGCAUGGAAAGUGUUCAAGAAGGGUCUACCAAAUAUUAUGGGACAAAAAUUAUCUUGUGGUGAGCUGAGUAUUAGAAAAUCUGUAGGGUAUUUUACUUUUUGACACAAGGCUUCAACAUCUCUAACAAUCCCAAGUGGCGUGAUGGUGUCUCUAUUAGCAAGUUUAGUAGUAACAUCUAUGUCUUCUAUGUCAGCGAGUGCUAUAUCAUGCAUGAUUUCUUGAUAUUAGGUAAAAGGAAUAGCACUAACACUAGCACCCAUUUCACAUACACCAUGAUAGCGAUGAUCUCGUAUUUAGACUGAAACGACAGGCAUGCCAACAACAUGUCUAUUCUUAUCUUUUGUAUGAGGUUUGGCAAUUCUAAGAGCUUCAUUACAGAGAUAAAUAACAUGCCCAUCAAUAUUGUCUACCAAGAGAUCUUUAACCAUAGCAGUACUAGGUUCUACCUUGAUUUUCUAAGAGGGUUUGGUUGUUUUAACAUAACUUUUGUUAACCACAGUUGAAGCUUUAGCACGUUCCUUUAUCCUUACAGGGAAAGGUGGUUUCUCAAUAUAAGCAGUAGGCACAACUGGGUCAACAUUGUAAAUGAUAGUUUCAGCCUCAACUUUAAUUGGUUCUUCAACUUUUUAUUUAAUAGGUGGAUGAUAUUUAAACCAUUUCUCUUUAGGGAGAUCAACAUGAGCAGCAAAGGUUCAACAUAAUGAGGCUACUAUUUGAGAGUCAAGUCCAUAUUUAGUGCUAAAAUCAUUGAAAGCAUCAUAUUCAUAAAAGACCUAACACAAUCAAACUUAAGUUUUACACCUGACUCUUUACCUUCAUUGAGUUCCCAAUCUUCAGAGUUGCAUUUAAUUAUUUCCAAAAUAUCCCACCUGAAUUCAAUAGUCUUGUUCAUAAAAGAACCAAAAUAAGAAAUAUCGAGCAUGGUUUAAUCAUUACGAGAAAGACGAGCAUACAAAUUAUGAAUAAUAAUUUCUCUCAAAAGCUCAUGAUUGGGGCAUGAAUAUAACAUUGACUUCCGGAUCCACUAAGCUAGAGCGAUACUUUCUCCUUCACAAGGCCAAAAAUUAUAGAUAAAAUUCCGAUCACGAUGAUCCUCCAAGUGCAAUCAGUUCUAGUUCCAAGAUCCUGUAUCAUCACAUAGCCUAUACCAUGUCAAUGAUUUCCCCCCAAAAGAUAAAGGGAAAACAUUCUUCUUGACUUCAUCUCUGGAUAAACCUGCAAGCUUAAAUAAUCCUCAAACUUCAUCCACUUAGAUUAGGUGCAUAUCGGGUUGUUUCAUCUCCUGCAUAAGGAUUAGCUAGCAAUUUCUCUAUCAUACCCAAAGGAAUUUCAUAAUAAACAUUUUCAGUAGGUUUAGGAGGUUGAGGGACGACUCUUGGUGUUUCAUUCAAGGAGAAGAUACCCCGAACAAACCCCUCAAAGGAUUACUUUCCAUAGUGUCAGGUAAUAGUAAAGUUCAACACGUAAUAUAAAAUUUCCCUUACCAAAUUCCACUUACCAAAGGCGCUUCACUCCCCGUCAACGGCGCCAGAAAAGAGUCUUUGUGACCCACAAGUAUAGGGUGUCAAUAAUGGUCCUUCCGAUAAGUAAGAGUGUCAAACCCAAUGAAAAGGGGAAGGAAAUGACAAACGGUUUUCAACAAGGUAAUUUCUACAAGCACUGAAAUAGCGGUAACAAGUUGUUUGAUAGCAAGAUAACUGUAACAAGUGAUAAGUAGCAAUAGUAACAAUAGGUGCAGCAAGGUAGCCCAAUCAUUUUGUGGAAAAGGAUAGGCCGAAACAGAUUCUUAUAAUAGGCAAAGCGUUCUCGAGGGCACGCGGGAAUUUCAUCUAGUCACUUUUAUCAUGUUGGAUUAAUUCGUGUUCGGUAUUUUGAUAAUUUGAUAUGUGGGUGGACCGGUGCUUGGGUGUUGUUCUUACUUGAAAAAACGUCCCACUUAUGAUUAACCCUCCUGCAAGCAUACGCAACUACAAGAAAAGUAUUAAGAAUAAAUUCUAACCAUAGCAUUAAGCAUAGGGAUCAAAAUCAGCCCCUUACAGAGUAGUGCAUAAACUGGGGUUUAAUUUUAUGCCUGUCUCGUAACCCACCCUCUAAUUACUACUCCACAAUGCACUCCCUUGGGCCCAAAGAUGGUGAAGUGUUAUGUAUUCCGUGUUCACAUAACACCACUAAUUAAGGGAAUCACAACAUUCAUAUCAUCGAAAUAUCGAACGGAUAUAAACUUCACAUGACUACUUGCAACAUGAUUUCUACCGUGGCCUCAAGAACAAAAGUAACUACUCACAAGUGAUAAACAUGAUCAUGAUAUGGGAGGUAUUAAAUAGCAUAAUGGAUCUGAGCAUAUGAUCUUCCACCAAAUAAACCAUAAAGCAUCAACUACAAGAUGUAAUCAACACUACUAGUCACACCCCAAGUACCAAUUCGAGGUUUCGGUACAAGAUUGAGCAUAAGAGAUGAACUAGGGUUUUGAGAGGAGAUGGUGAUGAUAAAGAUGUUGAUGAAGAUUGUCCUCCUCAAGAUGAGAGGGUUGUUGGUGAUGACGAUGGCGUCGAUUUCCCCCUCCGGGAGGGAAGUUCCUCCGACGGAAUCGCUCCAUCGGAGGGCAAAAAUACUCCUGCCCAGGUUCCGCCUCAAGACGGUGGUGCUUCAUCCCGAAAGUCCUCCUCUUAAUUUUGUCAGGGUAAAUGGGAAUUUAUACGAGAAUAUGAUCGCUAGAGGUGGGAUAGGGGGUCCAUGAUGUCCCACAAGCGUAUGGGAUCGCAACAGUUUUCGAGGGUAGAGUAUUCAACCCAAAUUUAUUGAUUCGCUCACAAGGGGAAGCUAAAGGAUAUUCUCAAGUAUUAGCAGCUGAGUCAUCAAUUCAACCACACCUGAAAGAUUAGUGUCUGCAAGCACAGUAUCAGUAGCAAGGCAGUAUGAUAACAACGGAGCCAGAAACGAUCUGGUGAGAAGGCAGACUAUUCCUAACUGUUUUAUCAAUGGCGCCAGUAAAAGCUUUGGCAAUCCCCGGCAAUGGUGCCAGAAAAAUCCUUGUUGACGGGAUGUUAACGCCAACAAAGUCUUGCAACAAGUAACAGCGGAGUAGAAAGGAACAGUAGUAGCAGCAGCAAAGUAACAAGUAACAGCAGUAGCGACAGCAGCAGCAAAGUGGCCCGAUCCCUCUUGUAGCAAGGGACAAGCCUAGGCAAAGUAACGUAGCGAGGACCACUAGUAAAAGACUCGUAGGCAGUGGAUCGGUGAUGGAUGAGUGUGAUGGAUGUGAUUCAUCAUGUAACAGCUAUAACACGGAGAGAUAUGUGGCUAGCUCCCGUUCAUCAAUCUAAUGUAGGCAUGUAUUCCGUAUGUAGUCAUACGUGCUUAGGGAAAAGAACUUGCAUGCCAUCUAUUGUCCAUCCCUCCCGUGGCAGCGGGGUCCUAAUGGAAACUACGGGAUAUUAAGGUUAUCCUUUUAAUAAAGAACCGGACCAACGCAUUAACACGCGGUGAAUACAUGAACUCCUCAUACUAUGAUCAUCUCCGGGAGUGGUUCUGGCUAUUGUCACUCCGGGGUUGCCGGGUCAUAACACAUAGUAGGUGACUACAACUUGCAAGAUAGGAUCUAAAACACACAUAUAUUGGCGACAACAUAAUAGGUUCAGAUCUGAAAUCAUGGCACUCGGGCCCUAGUGACAAGCAUUAAGCAUAGCCAAGUAGUAGCAACAUCAAUCUAGAACAUAGUGGAUACUAGGGAUCAAUCCCCGUCAAGAACUAACUCGAUUACAUGAUAGAUCUCAUCCAACUCAUCAUCGUCCAGCAAGCCUACGAUGAGAUUACUCACGAACGAUGAAGACCAUCAUGGAAUUGUCGAUGGAGAAAGGUUGAUGAUGACGAUGGCGACGAUUUCCCCUCUCCGGAGCCCGAAACAGACUCCAGAUCUGCCCUCCAUAUGAAGAACAGGAUGUGGCGGCGCCUCCGUAUCGCAAAACGCGAUGAAACCUUCUCUCUAAUUUUUUUCCAGGCGAAACGGAAGAUAUAGGACUGAGAUUGGGGGCGGUGGUGCCACGUGGGCCCCACAAGCCUGCAUGGCGCGGCCUAGGGGGGUGGCUGCGUCGUGUGGGCUUGUGGCCCACUGGCACACCCCCUCACGUGGAUCUUUGCGCAGGUAUUUUUCUUUUAUUCCAGAAAAAAUCACCGUAAAUUUUUAGGACGUUCCGAGAACUUUCAUUUCUGCACAAAAACAACACCAUGGCAAUUCUGCUGAAAACAGCGUCAGUCCGGGUUAGUUCCGUUCAAAUCAUGCAAAUUAGAGUCCAAAACAAGGGCAAAAGAGUUCGGAAAAGUAGAUACGACGGAGACGUAUCAGUCCACUAGACAUAACAUCGCGCUAGGGGGAGCUCGCGUGCCCUAGUGUCUAGUGGGCGCCUGGUAGCCCCCCUCCGAUACUUCUUUGCUCAAAUAUUUUUUAUUUAUUCCAAAAUAAAUCUACGUAAAGUUUCAGCCCAAUUGGAGAUGUGCAGAAUAGGUAUCUUUGACGUAGAUUUUUAAGGUCCAAAAAACUAACAAACUAUGUUUUCAGUCAACUUUACAACACAAUUCAUCAUACUUUCAGGAAGGGUCACAUAGCGGAGCUUUUAAGCAAGUAUACUACUCAACCAUCAUUUAGUCUUCUAUGAUUGCUAACACUCACCGCAUUCAUAUGAGCAAAAGGUUUCAACCGGACACAGAAAGAUAGGGGCAUAUACCUCCCAACGUAUUCACCUCAAGGGUGAUGUCAACAAUAAUAACUCAUGACCACACACAUUCAGAUGGAUAUAUAUGUCUAGAUAUUUUCCCACCACAUGAUGCUUGCCAAAGAGUUGUGGGAUAUAAAAGGUGCACGUGUGGGGGAUGAGCACAAAUAGGAGGAAUUUUACCUACGAGCGUUGCUCUUUGUAACCAUACAUGAGUGGCCUACUCUUAGUAACCUUUGAGGACAGACAAACAAAGGAUACAAUGCAUGCACGCGCUAUUUAGGUGAGACCAGAAGUAUAUAUUUGGAUAAAUGUAAGAAGAAUGUGUACGUGCGACAUCGUCGAUUUCUUCGGAUGAAGCAUCUCUUAAGAAAGAAAGGCAAGCAUUUCAAAGGUGAGGCAGAUCACCGGAAGAAGCCUGACCAUCGUACUAAUGCUCAUAUACUUGAUAUGGUCAAGGAUUUAAAAGUAUUCUUUGGAAAUGGUCCCGGUGGACAAUCUGUUCCGAAUGACGCUGACGGACACACACCCAUGUGGAAGAAGAAAUCUACAUUUUGGGACCUACCCUAUUGGAAAGUCCUAGAGGUUCGCUCUGCAAUCGACGUGAUGCAUGUGAUGAAGAAUCUUUGUGUGAACCUGCUAAGCUUAUUUGGCGUUUAUGGUAAGACAAAAGAUACACCGAGGCAUGGGAGGACCAGCAACGUUAACACGAAAAGGACGACAUGCAUCCAAAUCAGUAUCAAGGUCCUGCCAGAGGCGCUCUUACCAAAGAAGAGAAGGAAAUCUUCUUUGAAUGCAUGCUCGGUAUGAAGAUCCGGUUUGGUUUCUCAUCGAAUAUAAAUGGAAUAAUAAAUAUGGUAGAGAAAAAAAUUGAAAACCUAAAGCCUCAUGACUGCCACGUGAUUAUGACGCAAUUACUUCGCAUUGCAUUGAGUGGGCUUCUACCUGAAAAUGUUCGAUUAGCCAUUGGGAAGCUAUGUGCAUUCCUCAAUGCAAUUUUUCAGAAGGUAAUCGAUCGAGAAAUCCUACCAAGUUUACAAAAUGAUUUGGUGCAAUGUCUUGUCAUUUUUGAGUUGGUGUUCCCGCCAUCCUUCUUCAAUAUCACGACACAUGUCCUAGUUCACCUAGUUGAAGAUAUUACCAUUCUCGAUCAUGUAUUUCUACACAAUAUGUUCCCCUUUGAGAGGUUCAUGGGAGUCUUAAAGAAAUAUGUUCAUAACCGUGCUAGGACAGAAGGAAGCAUCUCCAAGGGCCAUGAAACAGAGGUGGUUAUUGAGUUUUGUGUUGAAUUUAUUCCCGACCUUAAGUUGAUUAGUGUUCCUGAAUCGCGGCAUGAGGGGAACAAAGUGGAAAAGGCACGCUAGGAAAGUAUUCAACAAUAUGUAGGGACGGACAUUCUUGGGUGCAAGGACACUAGACAUUUCUACAAAAUUCUACCUUGGUGGUCCCGUAUAUCAAUGAACACAAGAAUAUUCUAUGUUGCAAACAACCGGAGCAGUCUGACGACUGGAUUACACAUGAACACAUGGGGACUUUUGGCGGUUGGUUGCAAACACAUUCAUGGGUAACAACACUGUUGGAGAUGACCUGUACUUGUUGGCCAGGAC